GCUGGUGUGGUGUAGUUCGGUCCAUCAUGACGGACUCUCGAUCCGUCGACCCGGGUUCAAAUCCCGGCACUAGCA
rnacentral:tRNA from 1 species